UACAGAGGGUGCAAGCGUUAAUCGGAAUUACUGGGCGCAAAGGGCGCGUAGGUGGUUAUGUAAGUGAGAUGUGAAAUCCCUGGGCUUAACCUAGGAACUGCAUCUGAGACUGCAUGACUGGAGUGUGAUAGAGGGUAGUGGAAUUUCCGGUGUAGCGGUGAAAUGCGUAGAUAUCGGAAGGAACACCUGUGGCGAAAGCGGCGCACUGGACCACUACUGACGCUGAGGCGCGAAAGCUAGGGGAGCAAACAGG
rnacentral:rRNA from 1 species